UCCCACUGUCCCUGUCUACUAUCCA
rnacentral:siRNA from 1 species